CCCUCACGGUUUUGUUCCGCGUCAGCCCCAUCCCCACCCGGCCACCCCACGACCCACCGAAGCGGUUUCUCCUCCCCAGCUCGUGGUUAGUUUUCCCAACGCUGCUCCACCGGCCUGCUCGCGAUCUGUCCGCCCUUCCUCCUGGCGAUGACCCCAGGACUGGCACCGCCGGUGAAUCUCUACGUGCCCCCGCGGUCAAGGCGAUGCCCUCCCGUUCCCGUCGCUGCUCACUCCUCCCAUCGCCGGUUUUCCCGACGCCACUCCGCCGCCCAGCUCACGAAGCGUUGGACGGACAGUAGGGAUCUAAUCUUCUCCGCGACAGCUUGAUAUUCCUCCCGUGUAGAUGCUCCAGCGAGUCAUGUGCCCCAUCGAGCUCCUCGCCCUGCGCAAGUUGCUCCUAGCACAUAUCUCAUUUAAUGUGUACCUGCGCUUCUAUAUGCUUAGUCGUUCACAUAUCACAAAUCUGCUGGAGAGGGAUCACAUCUGAAAAUGAAUUGUUUUGUGCAGGAAGUUGGACACCAGGACUGCUUGCUGUAAAUUGCACAUGCUGGAGUUGCUUGCUUGAUGGAGAUGGCGCGUGCACAGACUUUUUUUUAGGGAGAAUAGAGCUUCGUGCACAGAUAUUCGUUUGCCAAUCUCAAACAAUCCUUUUCUGUACAUAAAUCAAUCAGCCGUAUGAGGGGCACCAGAACAUGGAGUACAAACGACGGAAUUAGUUUGCUUUGGAUCGUAAAUACUGAAUUUCACAACAUCGAUGAAUGACUGGAGCAUGUGCAUGCAA